GAAAUGCGAUAAGUAAUGUGAAUUGCAGAAUUCAGUGAAUCAUCGAAUCUUUGAACGCACCUUGCGCUCCUUGGUAUUCCUUGGAGCAUGCCUGUUUGAGUAUCAUGAAAUCUUCAAAGUAAAUCUUUUGUUAACUCAUUUGGUUUCUACUUUGGUUUUGGAGGUCUUUGCAGCUUCACACCUGCUCCUCUUUGUUCAUUAGCUGGAUCUCAGUGUUAUGCUUGGUUCCACUCGGCGUGAUAAGUUAUCUAUCGCUGAGGACACUGUAAAAGGUGGCCAAGGUAAAUGCAGAUGAACCGCUUCUAAUAGUCCAUUGACUUGGACAAUACUUUUAUGAUCUGAUCUCAAAUCAGGUAGGACUACCCGCUGAACUUAAGC
rnacentral:misc_RNA from 1 species